rnacentral:rRNA from 1 species
UACGGGAGGCAGCAGUGGGGAAUAUUGCACAAUGGGCGCAAGCCUGAUGCAGCCAUGCCGCGUGUAUGAAGAAGGCCUUCGGGUUGUAAAGUACUUUCAGCGGGGAGGAAGGCGAUGCGGUUAAUAACCGCGUCGAUUGACGUUACCCGCAGAAGAAGCACCGGCUAACUCCGUGCCAGCAGCCGCGGUAAUACGGAGGGUGCAAGCGUUAAUCGGAAUUACUGGGCGUAAAGCGCACGCAGGCGGUCUGUUAAGUCAGAUGUGAAAUCCCCGGGCUUAACCUGGGAACUGCAUUUUGAAACUGGCAGGCUUGAGUCUUGUAGAGGGGGUAGAAUUCCAGGUGUAGCGGUGAAAUGCGUAGAGAUCUGGAGGAAUCCGGUGGCGAAGGCGGCCCCUGGGACAAAGCUGACGCUCAGGUGCGAAAGCGUGGGGAGCAAACAGGGAUUAGAUACC